AGGAACUGAGCUGCAAUAAAGAGAAAUGGCACUGAAAAUUUCAUCGCUGGCUUCUAUGACAGCACGUGGGAGGAGAGGCUGCCAGCAGGAGCAGCUGGAGGAGCAGAAGGAGCAGGACUGGAUUCAACUCUGCAGCAUGAAGCAGCCACCCGGCUCCUGGUCACCUUUCUUCUGCUGUUAAAUGACCUGCAAUGACUUCUGUAGUUCUGUCUGAAAUCCUCCGCCUUACUGCCAGGUCUAUCGCAGCGUGGCCUCACGGAGGAGUUGUGACGAUGUGAUGCCGCUCUGCACGGACUCCUGUGAAAACCACCGCCUUGGCUGCCACUGCUGAACCACGCCGACGGCUGUCACAGCCACCUCCGUGAGCGGCCGAUGGGCAGACAGUUCGGACAACUCUGUCAGGCAAAUGCUAACUGUCCACUGUGUAUUCAGCCAACAAUUGGUUUUGAUUUACUUGUUUGGCCCAAAGGAAUUUAGUGCCAUCUGAAAUAUUCAGAAGUUUUACUAUGUAUUUCUCUCCUAAUUUAAUUUCCUUAAAUUGGUCUGUUUCUCUUUACAUUAUACAAACUGAUGGUCACUGGUUCUUUUUCACUUAUAGAAAUGUGUUCUUUAGGAUGUAUUAACAUUAAAACAUGUAACAUUUAGUAUAUAUUUAAUUCAGAGGAGACCUAGUCAGAAUGGUUGUAGCAGCCAAGAAAAACCUAAUUCUAUGUAUCUAUGAUAAUGGCUAAAAGAUGCCACUGAGAAUAUGGACUUUUUCUCUCAUAUACUCAGUAGUAAUCAGGAGCACAACUGAGUCAAUCUGGAUUAACAUCUUUCAGUUGGUUUGAUACAUCCAAGAAUUUAUAUAAUGUAAUUGCUACUUACAGG